rnacentral:rRNA from 1 species
CUACGGGGGGCUGCAGUGGGGAAUUUUGCGCAAUGGGGGAAACCCUGACGCAGCAAUACCGCGUGAGUGAAGAAGGCCUUUGGGUCGUAAAGCUCUUUUCUUGGGGAAGAUAGUGACGGUACCCAAGGAAUAAGCACCGGCUAACUCCGUGCCAGCAGCCGCGGUAAUACGGAGGGUGCAAGCGGUGUUCGGAUUUACUGGGCGUAAAGGGCACGUAGGCGGCACAGGAAGGUAAGGGUGAAAUCCCGGGGCUCAACUCAGGAACUGCUCUUAAAACUGCUGAGCUAGAGAUAGUCAGAGGCGGGUGGAAUUCCAGGUGUAGAGGUGAAAUUCGUAGAUAUCUGGAGGAACACCGGUGGCGAAGGCGGCCCGCUGGGGCUAUUCUGACGCUAAGGUGCGAAAGCGUGGGGAGCAAACGGGAUUAGAUACCCUCGUAGUC